ACAGGCCGUUUCUGCCGCGUCCACCACCACAUCUGCUGUACCACAGGGGGCCUUCGCCGCCGCCGCCGCCCCCACCACCACCCCCGCCGCCAUCGCCACCGCCGCCGCCACCACCACCACCGUCACCUCCGCCGCUGCCUCCUUCGCCACCUCUACACAUUUCAGGCCUUCUGUCCUGGAAAAGAAGCUACAGUCGGUCUCCCUUGUGGGCCCGGGGCGCAGCCAUGGCGGACGGCGGCGGCGGCGGGGGAACUGGCGCGGUGGGCGGCGGCGGAACGGGCCAGGCCUCUGCCGGGGCAGCGACUGGCGCUACUGGGGCCAGCGGGGGCGGUGGCCCCAUCAACCCGGCCUCGCUGCCUCCUGGCGACCCGCAGCUCAUCGCUCUCAUCGUGGAGCAGCUCAAGAGCCGGGGCCUUUUUGACAGCUUCCGCCGGGACUGCCUGGCCGACGUGGACACCAAGCCAGCUUACCAAAACCUGAGGCAGAAAGUGGAUAAUUUUGUGUCAACACAUCUGGACAAGCAGGAAUGGAAUCCUACAAUGAACAAAAACCAAUUGCGAAAUGGUCUGAGGCAGAGUGUGGUUCAGUCAGGCAUGUUGGAAGCUGGAGUAGACAGGAUUAUUUCUCAGGUGGUGGAUCCAAAACUUAACCACAUCUUCAGGCCACAAAUAGAACGAGCAAUUCAUGAGUUCCUGGCGGCCCAGAAAAAAGCAGCUGUGCCAGCACCCCCUCCAGAGCCCGAAGGCCAGGACCCUCCAGCUCCGUCUCAGGACACUUCCUAAGAAUAUGCCGGACACCUUUUGAAAGCUAAUUUUUGGUGAAGAAAUGGAUUCAGUUACGUAAGAGUGCAACUUCAGACUGAAGAUAGGCCAAGGUUGUCACUGAUCUCAAGAUUUCAACCUUGACCAUGGGCAGUGACCACAUUAAAAGGGGAGCAAGUUCGGCAGUGGGAGAGUUGACCGUGUCACCCCCUGCAUUGUGCUGCCAUUUGGCCAGCCUGUCCGAGGGCAUGACACCAAGUAGACACUACAGAGAGAGAAACACUACAGCAACCCAGGGUUGUCCUGAAACAGACUUUUAUACUCGAACAUGGAGACUACGCAUGGACUUUAGGGUUUGUGCUGUGGGAUAAACGGAAGCUACAGUGAGAACAUAGCCAGUCCCAAAGACAAUUUCAAAGAACAAUGACAGUAAAGGUUAGCUGGGAGUAGUCUUUGACAGUGCUUAUUUGAUACUGUCUCUCAGAGUUCGCAAACCGGAUUGUACAAGUCAUUAGCGUCAGAUAGCUUUAAAGUUGUGACCUUCUUGUACAUGAAUCUUCUAGCCAGUUUCCUUUCCUUUGUAAUAAGUAACGAAACAUGAAAUCCUAGAAUGUGUGAGAAGUUCAGACAUUAGGCAUAAGGAAACUCGUUUGCAGGCUCUCUGUCCAGGGCUGCUUCCUGUCCUGGAGGGGCCAGUGAGUCUUAGCUCCUGAAGGGCAAGACUAGUAUGUCAUUGAAAAAAAUUCUUCCAUAGUCCCUUGGAAGUGCCCGGAACAAGAGGAGAAUCAAAUAUGGGUGAGUACUAGAAGUCUAUCUUAGCCUUUCUGACUGCCAAAUAUAUGGUGUAUUUUCCCCACAAAGAUACUCAUCCUGCCCCAUGGAAGAUGAUGCCAAAAUACCAUCUAGUCACUGCAUCCAACCCAAGGUUCAGGACAUCUGUACAGUGGGGACUAGGCAGCUCCUCGGUUAGACCUAAGAAAACUCAGGUUGUCUGCCCAACAUCCCACCUGAUAAGCAACAGGAAUAAUUAGAACAGGGAGGAAUGAGAAACCUUGCCGUUCCUGGCCCAUAGCAAUUCCAAAAUCCCAGUAGGCAGCUGCUGUGAGGCCACUUCACCUAGGCUGGCAGAUGUUGCCUGUUUAGGACUGGGUUCCAUUCUUUAGCAGGGGUCUCCCCAUUCCAUUGUCCUCUGUGGCCUCUGGCUUCACCCUCUGCUAGGUUCCUUCAUUUCCAUUAUCCUCCCUUUCCAUCCUCCUUUUCAGCCACACCCAAAAGAGACAUGCAAGAAUUUGUUUGACAUUGUGCAGCCUUCUCAAUCCUCAUCCUCCAGGAGAUUGGAGACCCAAGGAAUAUUUUAAGUUUUCAACAGAAACUUCUGGAAACCGGGCUCGUGAGUUUGUUUUGUUUUUGGCAGAAUGAGCUUCACAAAUGUAGUAGGAAUUUUAACCUGGUUGAUUCCAAUCAGUAACAUGGGCCAGAAGCCACACUCAGUUCUUUUUUGUGACUCAGUUCUCAAAUCUGCUGUAUUUCUUCACUCCCUUACCCUAUGCCUCUCUAGAUUUAAACUUUGAGUCUAGAUUUAAACCUGUGGGGCUUCUGUG